CCUACGGGUGGCAGCAGUGAGGAAUAUUGGUCAAUGGGCGCGAGCCUGAACCAGCCAAGUAGCGUGAAGGAUGACUGCCCUACGGGUUGUAAACUUCGGUUAUAAAGGAAGAAAGUGAGGCACGUGUGCCGUUUUGUAUGUACUUUAUGAAUAAGGAUCGGCUAACUCCGUGCCAGCAGCCGCGGUAAUACGGAGGAUCCGAGCGUUAUCCGGAUUUAUUGGGUUUAAAAGGAGCGUAGAGGGGUUGUUAAGUCAGUUGUGAUAGUUUGCGGCUCAACCGUAAAAUUGCAAUUGAUACUGGCAGUCUUGCUUACAGUUGCGGUAGGCGGACUUCGUGGUGUAGCGG
rnacentral:rRNA from 1 species